ensembl:lncRNA
CUCUGCUUUCCAGCCCCCUCUCGGCGAUCCGGCAGAGGAAAGGGCUGGCAAAUGGGAAACGCGGUGAGUCCGGCCGCCCUGAUGCACCCGAGGGUGCCCGGCGUCCUCCGGCAGGGCCCCCGAGACCUGCCACGAGGUGCGUGGGGUCUCAGCGCGGCCCCCCCCCCCCUUCCCAAAAACCCGCUCAGAGCACCCGCUCGCCUCCCUCCCUCCACUCAGGCAAGCCGGAUGCUGACGAUGUCAAAGCUCGAGCCGUGCAGGAGAUGAUGGACCGGAUAAAGAGCGGGGUGGUCCUGAGGCCGGCGAAGGAGCGGGCGCCCCCGGGCCAGGGUCCGUCCGCAGCGGCCGGCAAGCGGAAGAGCGCCGCGAUGGAGCUGCGGAGCAUCCUGGGCACCAUGAGGAAGACGAGCAGGACGCCGAGCUGGCGGAAGAGCAGCGUGAAGGGCAGGGACAGCCAGCUGGACUCCAUCCUGCAGCGGCGACGCAAGGCGCUGGACUCCUCCGCGUCCGCUCCGGCCUCGCUGCCCGGCUCCGAGCCAGCUGCCACCGCCGCCGGGAGCCCCGCGCAGGCUCCGGGUGCGGGGAGCCCUUCUCGCCCUGGAGACGGCGCCGUGCGCGCGGCUCUGUCCACCAGGAGCUCGCAGGAGAACGGCGACGCGGUCUGCUUCCGACCCAGGUCAGCGGGAAGCCUCCCAAAGAACCGGCCCACCGUCCGCUUGGUUGAGGGAAGGUUCAAGCCGGCGUAGAAGGAGCCACCCGAAAGCCAGCCCUUCCGCAAAAACGCGUCUGUAAGAAGUCGGAGGAGAAGAGCAACCUGUCCGUACCGCUUAGGGAGACCACGAAAAGCAAAGAAACAGCCACCCCGCAAGCUGCCGCCUCCCCAGGCGUCUCUGCCUGGACGUGUCCUCCAGGGCUGCAGGAUGGUGCCACCUCUCUGCCAGCCCAGCAGCUCAAAAAAAAAAAUCACCUCCGGAGCAGAAGUUUGCUAGAGAUUCGAGAAAGUACUUCUUUCGUCUGAUGGGCAGCGUUCGGAGCAGCGAGGAGAUGACGAGAGCUGAAGAAGCAAGUCUGAAGCAAGGUCACCGCAGGGCUCAUCCGGGUGGGAGAGGACAAACUUGAGCUGCUUCUCCCUAAACACGGAUAAAUGCGCUGGAAAGGCAAGGCAGGGACAACGGCAGGCGGGCGUUGCCUUGAGGACAUCAUCUGCUGCGGGCUGUUACGCCGGUUUUCUAACCACCUGUAUCCUCCUGCGCUUUAAUUAAAAGCGAGGCCACGCUGGGCUCCCCCACGCCCCGCGUUUGCUUGCUCCGUCUCAGCUGUCCUGCGGGGUAAUUUGGCCGGGCAAGGGACUGGGGGGCCACCACCGUGGCGGACGGGGUGGUGGGGAUGGGAUGGGAUGGAGCACGUCGCGGGCAGCGCCCCGACUCCUCCGC